GAUGAACGCUGGCGGCGUGCCUAAUACAUGCAAGUCGAGCGAACAGACGAGGAGCUUGCUCCUCUGACGUUAGCGGCGGACGGGUGAGUAACACGUGGAUAACCUACCUAUAAGACUGGGAUAACUUCGGGAAACCGGAGCUAAUACCGGAUAAUAUAUUGAACCGCAUGGUUCAAUAGUGAAAGACGGUUUUGCUGUCACUUAUAGAUGGAUCCGCGCCGCAUUAGCUAGUUGGUAAGGUAACGGCUUACCAAGGCAACGAUGCGUAGCCGACCUGAGGGGGUGAUCGGCCACACUGGAACUGAGACACGGUCCAGACUCCUACGAGAGGCAGCAGUAGGGAAUCGUCCGCAAUGGGCGAAAGCCUGACGGAGCAACGCCGCGUGAGUGAUGAAGGUCUUCGGAUCGUAAAACUCUGUUAUUAGGGAAGAACAAAUGUGUAAGUAACUAUGCACGUCUUGACGGUACCUAAUCAGAAAGCCACGGCUAACUACGUG
rnacentral:rRNA from 1 species